rnacentral:tRNA from 2 species
CAGGACGUAGCUAAAAUAGUAUAGCAUCUCCCUUACACUGAGAAGACACCCGUGCAAAUCGGGUCGAACUGA